UAUACCCAUUAUAAGAUAAUCAUUUGAAUUUGAUUUUUUUUCUUUUUCUGCUACUCGGGCGAGACGCAUAUGCACACACUUUUUUUUAUAUGAGUACGUGUUUAUAUUUUUUUUGUACUCGUACACACAUGUAUAUGUAAAAUGAGCAUACACACACUUUCUGUAAACUAGUACACACAUGUACUGAUGCACAUACGUUCUGUUAACAAAUACACGUGCAUGUACGUACUUUCUAUAAAUGAGUACACACCCGACUACUAGUGGCAGAGGUCCAGCUAUUGACGAUGAGACGGAUAGAUUUUG
rnacentral:lncRNA from 1 species